AAUGAACGCUGGCGGCAGGCCUAACACAUGCAAGUCGAGCGAGCGGCGGACGGGUGAGUAAUGUAUGGGGACUGCCCGAUAGAGCGGGAUAAAUACUGGAAACGGUGGCUAAUACCGCAUACUGUCGGAAAACUCAUUUGGGCUUAGAUAGUAGGUAAAGUAAUGGCUUACCUAGGCGACGAUCCCUAGCUGGUCUGACAGGAUGAUGAGCCACACUGGGACUAGGAAACGGCCAAGACUCCUACGGAGGCAGCAGUGGGGAAUAUUGUGCAAUGGGCGCAAGCCUGAUGCAGCAAUGCCGCGUGUAUGAAGAAGGCCCUCGGUUUGUAAAUUACUUUCAGUCGGGAGGCGUUACCGACAGAAGAAGCACCGGCUAACUACGUGCCAGCAGCCGCGGUAAUAC
rnacentral:rRNA from 1 species